rfam:Gossypium hirsutum cultivar TM-1 chromosome 9, whole genome shotgun sequence
GUUUAAAAAUUUUAACCUUUUGUGCCUUUAAAUACUUGUGUGGCUGACAAAAUAAUUAGAUAGUAACACAUAGCAUGCCAUGUGUAUCUCAUGUUGACAUAUAGGGACCAAUUAUUAAUAUUAAAAAUGGAUGAAAUUUUUAAUA